AACGAACGCUGGCGGCAGGCCUAACACAUGCAAGUCGAGCGCGCCCUUCGGGGUUAGCGGCGGACGGGUGCGUAACGCGUGGGAACGUGCCCUUCUCUUCGGAAUAACCCCGGGAAACUGAGAGUAAUACCGCAUACGCCCUUCGGGGGAAAGAUUUAUCGGCUAAGGAUGGGCCCGCGUUGGAUUAGGUAGUUGGUAGGGUAAUGGCCUACCAAGGCGACGAUCCAUAGCUGGUUUGAGAGGAUGAUCAGCCACACUGGGACUGAGACACGGCCCAGACUCCUACGGGAGGCAGCAGUGGGGAAUCUUGGACAAUGGGGGCAAGCCUGAUCUAGCCAUGCCGCGUGAGUGAUGAAGGCCUUAGGGUUGUAAAGCUCUUUCAGCUGGGAAGAUAAUGACGGUACCAGCAGAAGAAGCCCCGGCUAACUCCGUG
rnacentral:rRNA from 1 species